CAAGUCGAACGAAGUAGCAAUACUUAGUGGCAGACGGGUGAGUAACAUGUAGGUAUCUUCCCAUUGGUGAGGAAUAACACGAGGAAACUUGUGCUAAUACCUCAUAAGUCUUUACGGAGAAAGCUUUAUGCGCCGAUGGAUGAGCCUGCACUUGAUUAGUUUGUUGGUAGGGUAAUGGCCUACCAAGACAAUGAUCAAUAGCUGAUUUGAGAGGAUGAUCAGCCACAUUGGGACUGAGACACGGCCCAAACUCCUACGGGAGGCAGCAGUAGGGAAUCUUGCACAAUGGGGGAAACCCUGAUGCAGCGAUGCCGCGUGAGUGAAGAAGGCCUUUGGGUUGUAAAGCUCUUUCGUCGGGGAAGAAAAUGACUGUACCCGAAUAAGAAGGUCCGGCUAACUUCGUGCCAGCAGCCGCGGUAAUACGAAGGGACCUAGCGUAGUUCGGAAUUACUGGGCUUAAAGAGUUCGUAGGUGGUUAAAAAAGUUGGUGGUGAAAUCCCAGAGCUUAACUCUGGAACUGCCAUCAAAACUUUUUAGCUAGAGUAUGAUAGAGGAAAGCAGAAUUUCUAGUGUAGAGGUGAAAUUCGUAGAUAUUAGAAAGAAUACCAAUUGCGAAGGCAGCUUUCUGGAUCAUUACUGACACUGAGGAACGAAAGCAUGGGUAGCGAAGAGGAUUAGAUACCCUCGUAGUCCAUGCCGUAAACGAUGUGUGUUAGACGUUGGAAAUUUAUUUUCUGUGUCGCAGCGAAAGCAAUAAACACACCGCCUGGGGAGUACGACCGCAAGGUUAAAACUCAAAUGAAUUGACGGGGACCCGCACAAGUAGUGGAGCAUGUGGUUUAAUUCGAAGAUACGCGCAGAACCUUACCAACACUUGACAUGUUCGUCGCGACUUUAAGAGAUUAAAGUUUUCGGUUCGGCCGGACGAAACAC
rnacentral:rRNA from 1 species